AUUGAACGCUGGCGGCAGGCCUAACACAUGCAAGUCGAGCGAGCGGCGGACGGGUGAGUAAUGUAUGGGGACUGCCCGAUAGAGGGGGAUAACUACUGGAAACGGUGGCUAAUAACGCAUACUAUCGGAUCACCCACAUGUGAGUAGCUAUUAGGUUGGGUAAAGGCACACCUAGGCGACGAUCUCUAGCUGGUCUGAGGUGAUGAUCAGCCACACUGGGACUUAGACACGGCCCAGACUCCUACGGAGGCAGCAGUGGGGAAUAUUGCACAAGGGGCGCAAGCCUGAUGCAGCCAUGCCGCGUGUAUGAAGAAGGCCUUAGGGUUGUAAAGUACUUUCAGCGGUGAGGCGUUACCCGCAGAAGAAGCACCGGCUAACUCCGUGCCAGCAGCCGCGGUAAUUC
rnacentral:rRNA from 1 species